CAAAGUCACUCAAAAGGAGGUAUUUCUGUUCUUUCAGAAAAGAAUAAAUCUCCUAAUGUAAUUCAGUUGAGCUCCUCCCAUUUCUGACCUGUGAGUCAUGGUAAACCCUCCAGGAAGCACCUGCUAGUGUCUUGAUCUCGCACAGACGCUGUCAGUCUGAAGCAUCCACUGAGUAAUGUAAGUUCAUCCAUGAGGAAUCCACAAGAAAUGAUGAAUAUCCAGUUUAUCUUCACCUCACUACUAGCCCUGGCCCUCUCAGGGCCUGGGGGAGCAGACUGGAUCAAAUCCCAGGAGACAGAAGUGUCUGCAACAGAGGGAAAGAGUGUGAACCUCCUUUGUAAUUAUGGUACCUCAUCUAGAGGCGCUGUUGAUCUCUACUGGUUUCGACAGUACCCAAACCAGGCACCGGAAUUUAUUCUCUACAGAGGGUGGGGAUACUCUGGAAAAGAAGAUGCUGAUUUUGCCACAGAAAAGUUCUAUUCAAAUAGUACAGCAAAUGCAACAACUUUGUACAUUGGAAAAUUGAAGUUUGCAGACACUGCCCGGUAUCACUGUGCUCUGAGAAAGACACGCUGAGAGCUCUGCAUAGAGCAGCUGUACAAGAACACCAGUGCAUGGGAGGAAGGAGAAUGCGGCACCCAGCAUCACACGGACUUUUGUGUUGGUUUGUUUGUGAGAUGCAGCACAGUACUGAGGAGAUGUUGGUUCAGGAGAGUUCUGGUCUAACUAUAUAACAGCUAUAUAAUUGCUAGGCAAAUAAAUAGCUUAAGUUUUUUAAAUUGCCAUUUCCUGAAAUUAGAGAUAAUAACUCUACAAGCUGUUAUGAGACAUGGCUUUAAAGUGCAUGUGCUGGAUACUCAGCAAAUGGGAGGUAUCUUUGAUUCUCUUUCUCAAUAACUUCUUUCUUUGGUCUCUAGGGGCCUUUCUGUGAGCAUCUGAGGAUCUCUUUCCCACCACACUGGCAAAAAUAAUAAUCAUUAAAGACCUAAGAAUACAUAUGCAGGACUCAGACAAGGCCUCUUUGACCACAGAUCCCUGGUCAUCAUGCCAGAGGGUGAAAGGUGUGCUCAGCAAGACCAGCCACAAGAGGACAAAGGGGCCUUGAAGCCCUCCCUCAUUGCUGAGCUCCCAGCCACGGGCACUUGGGAUUUCUCACGAUGUGAACAAGAACAGAGGCUCGUUCUCACAAGUCCGAAGGGAAGGGCGAAAGCAAGAGGUUGUGCAUUAGGGGGUGGUGAGGACAGGGAAAUCGCCUCAGUGACUAUUACCGGCUCCUGAGGCAGCUCUUCCCUUUCCAGGUGGAGAUGAGAGGCCAAGUGAGGUGGAAUCUGGGGCUGACUGCUGGAGCCAGAGGACACCUGCCACCGAUUCCAAUGACUCCAGCCAUGCUUCUCAGGGACUGCCAGCAUCCAGCAGACCUGUGCCAAGGCUAGCUUCUUUGUCUGCACUGAUGUUAAGUGGGAUGGAAGAGAGGAAGGAAGAUUUAGAGCCUCAUUCAGCACAAAGUCUGCUGCAGCACCAGCACCUUAUGGCUUCCAGGCUGCAAACCACGGGUUUCUGUAGUUCCCGGAGAAGUCUGACCCAGCCUCACUGCCUGAGGAAUGAUUGCACCAGCCAUGAAGAGGGGCUUGGAAGCAAGACAGCAAGUCAGUUUUUUAAACAGUGUUUUCUUCUACAAAGAGAAACUUGAGUCAAAAUAAAAGUUGAGAAAUACUGUAGCUAGAAAAUAAAUUUUAAAGAUCUGUUUAAAGUUAACUU